rnacentral:RNase_P_RNA from 1 species
AGGAGUGGGUGAGCGGCUCACGGCUUCGUGCUGAGGAAACUCCUCCCUCAUUCCCGGACCAGGUGUGUAAAAACUGGGGCGAGAGUCCCAAAUGGGGCGCAGAAACGACACAGCCCGUGACGAGGAUGAUUUCCUCGGGAAUGACGUUGUUACGGGAUUUGAUGAAACGGCCCCAUCCUGGAGCAAGUCCAAAUACCGGGAUCGGUUGUCCGGGACCGCUCGGAGGUAGGACGCAUAGGUGAAUGCCGCAUAAAACAGAAGGAGGGUUACUGCCCACACCU